rnacentral:tRNA from 1 species
UGAGGCUGUGGUGUAACGGCGGCACAUCGGUCUUUUAAACCGAACGGUGAGGGUUCGAAUCCCUCCGGCCUCAU